AGCGAACGCUGGCGGCAGGCCUAACACAUGCAAGUCGAACGAACCUUUCGGGGUUAGUGGCGGACGGGUGAGUAACACGUGGGAACGUGCCUUUAGGUUCGGAAUGACUCAGGGAAACUUGUGCUAAUACCGAAUGUGCCCUUCGGGGGAAAGAUUAAUCGCCUUUAGAGCGGCCCGCGUCUGAUUAGCUAGUUGGUUGAGGUAAUGGCUCACCAAGGCGACGAUCAGUAGCUGGUCUGAGAGGAUGAUCAGCCACAUUGGGACUGAGACACGGCCCAAACUCCUACGGGAGGCAGCAGUGGGGAAUCUUGCGCAAUGGGCGAAAGCCUGACGCAGCCAUGCCGCGUGAAUGAUGAAGGUCUUAGGAUUGUAAAAUUCUUUCACCGGGGACGAUAAUGACGGUACCCGGAGAAGAAGCCCCGGCUAACUUCGUG
rnacentral:rRNA from 1 species